CAGGCACGAACCUUAACGAAAGGUUGAGACUUGUAGUCGACACAAUAAAAUGGAUGCUUUAAAUCAACAUAUACAAAUACAUUUUAAGGGCACUUGACUUAAAAGAUCACAGUGACACUGUACAAACUACAGCAAAAACAAAAGACUUUCCCAGCAGUGCCAGAAUCAGCUGCAAAUACUUGGAGCCAGAUGACCCUGCGACGUGUUGACCCCUGCAGUGAUUUGACCAUCCAGAACAGCAGUGACACUCUGCAGAAACGCAAUAAAACAAGUCAUCAUUACUGUCA